rnacentral:ncRNA from 1 species
CUGACGGCCGCGUUCGGGUCAAUUGCGGACUGCAACACCCGGUCUCUCUGCUCGCGCCUCCGUCGGUGGAGGUCCAGCAGGGGGAGCGCGUCGCCAUCAG